AAUUUUGGUUAAUGAUUGGUAUUGCACUUGUGUCAAAUUGUAAAGUCAGUGACCAAGUUUUCAAAAUAUAUUUGAAUGAAAAAAAAUGACCAAGACAUAAAUGAAUGCCAAAUUUUGAUAAUGAACAACAAAUUUUUCUAAGCCUUAAAUUGAAAAUGAAUUUUAGAAAGGGUUAGCAAACUUAUUUAAAACCGAAUUUACCAAAAUGUUUU
rnacentral:lncRNA from 1 species